ensembl:lncRNA
AUGCGUGUUUGUUUGUUGGUUUUUUAGAACUUUAGACACGUUAAACGUUACUCGAUUCAGUCUGCCUGUCUGUGACGUCAUCAGUACGCAGCGGCAGCCGCGCAAAACUCUGAACAACAACAAAACACAGCGUGGAGGAGACGACUGCGAGCGAGACAUUUACAAACCAACUUAUCGAUCCAGCGCGUGGAAACAUUUUGGCUUUUGCAAACACGGAGGUGUUCUAAAUAAGUCGGUCGCUGUUUGUAGAAUAUGUAGAAGCCAAAUAAAAAACCACGGAAACGAGACGAAUCUUUCCAGGCAUCUACUAAGGCGCCGUGGGAUUAAACAACGCCGACAGUCAGGACCUCUAGCAGCGGAAGAAGGUAACUCCAGCUCUGCAGACACCUCAGGCCUCGCCAGCACCAAACUCAGCAUCACAGUAACAAUUGCCAAGUUUAUCUGUAAAGACAUGCGACCCUACAAUGAGGUUGAAAAUUCGGGGUUCUGUAAAUUGAUCCAAACAUUGUGUAAUUAUUGUGUAAUGUUUACAUUGAAAAUGGCACCUGAUUCAAAUAAAAGGUUAAUACAUUUGCCAUUAAUUGUUGUUUGCUUGUUUAUAAUAUCCAUAAUUAAUUUAAACCUGAUUUUCUUACAAGAAACAACAGGGAUCUCAGCACUGCCUGCACUGUCCAGUAAAGUUACUGAAUCGAUUUCAAGUCACUGAAUCGAAUCGAAUCGUUCUAAAUUAAUCCAGAUCGUCCAUGAAUCAAAUCGGCAACCAUGAAUCGCGAUUCGAAUCGAAUCGUUGUUAAAAUGAAUCGUUACACCCCUAAUAACUACAUUUCCCAUGGUGCAUCGCGAGCGAGCACGCCUCUGGGGUUUUCUGUAUAUAAUAUAUAGACGCCGCAUUGGCUUCUUGUCGCGAGAAAUACGGCCGCCAUCUUGGAGCGGUCGUGCUCGUAGUUGCGUAGCAGCAGAAGAUGCAGGAGGCCACAGCACUGUGCUGCUUAUUUCUGCGCUAAUCGGCGGACCAUCGCCAGCAGGGCUCGGGGGAUAACCUUUCACAAGUGCUGAGAGCUGCAGAGAGGGUGAUCCGCCGAGCUUCAACAACACAAGCUCCUAAGGUGUCGACAGUCACACACAUCGUCCGAGAGGAGAUUAGAACGGAUGAUGUUUUUUUGCUCGGGGAAGAGACACAGUUUGGCAUCGACAACCAUCAUUCAGACUUGUUGUCAUUGGUUGUGUCUGUGUUUCUCAAGCUAAGGCUGCACCACAUUGCCAAACUCACCACUCUGGAACUGCAAAAAGGGAGCACGAGAAAGAAGCUCUGCAAGACAGUCCUAUUCCAGGGGUUUUAGUGUGUGUGUGUGUGUGUGUGUGUGAUAGUUAGUUAGUUAGACCCUCUUUGGUGCAAACACCCGGCGUUCUGUUGAAGAUAUUUGUGUGUGCUUGCAAAUAUUCAAUUCAUUUUAUUUCUAAUUCUAUAUUGUUUUUUAACGUAUUAAAUGUCUGACUUUACUACUACUAUCUGUUUCUGCUUCUCUAUCAAAAUUAUAGUGUGUGAUUUGCAAAAUAUCUAUCAUAGUCUACAUCACAUCAUAUAUCAGAAUAUAACAUUACCGUUAAGUCCACAAUGAAUAUUAAAACACGCCGAACUAUGUGCCCUGUGUCAUAGCUGCAUGUAUGACCUUUGCAGCAAAAACAACACGUGAAAAUCAGUUGGGUAUUCAGUGAGGUAUGAUUAAUUGAAUGCGCUCACAGCUGAUUGCACCUGCAAACAGAUUACACUGAGCAGAGCGGAGGACCGUUCCAAGUUGGCGGCUGCAUUUCUCGUCAGUGCCAAUAGGCGGUAGCGGCCAAUGCGGCGUCUAUGUAUAUUAUGUCUAUGGUUUAGCGCGUCGGGUUUUUUCGAUACCGGUCCUAACCCGAUACUUUUAAAAUGAUACCGGUGCCUAAACGGUGCCUGAACCGAUACUUCUUUCGAGAAAGAAAAUGAACUGUUUACAGUUUAAUUAGUGUUUACAUUGCAUUACAGGUCAUUUAGCUGACGCUUUUAUCCAAAGCGACUUACAUUACAUUUUUAUCCCGUGGAUUUUUACAUUUUGGUCGGGGAGCAAUUAGAGGUCCUCUAAUUGCUCCCCGACCAAAAUGUAAAAAUCCACGGGAUAAAAAUGAGCCUGUCUUGCUCAGGCACACUUUUGACAUGGAACAUGGGACAGUCAGGACUCGAACACCUUUUGCUUCUCAGAACACCCUCUCUACCCCUGCACCGCGACGACCCCUCGUCUUUACCAUGGUGUUUACCAUCUUCAAGAGCCAAAAGUGUAUAUAUUGGUUCUUUUGAAUUUGAAGAAUAGUAAAUUCGUUAUUUGAUUUUAGAUCUAUGCUCAUUGUGCGGGAACUAAAGAUAUGUAACAUAUUGGAAAGCAUCUACGUAGAUUGACGCUCCUUGUUUGUCACGUUUUAUUGACGUCAUAAUUGCAGGUGCAACAGGAAAAGCUGCAUUAAGCACGAGAGCAUAUAGUUGUUGUACUGUGUGAUAGAAUUUAUUAUUUAUUUAUUUAGUAAACACUUUGCAGCGUAAAAAAGAAAAUAAUCAGGCGAUCUCCUGUCAUUCGUGUGGGGAAGUGAAGUCACGUGUCUGCAGCUCAAUGCGCAACAUCACCGAAGGAACAACGCUACAUGCUCGGAUUAAUACUUCGGUGGGGGCGCGGAUCGUCCGACGGGACGGGAGAGGCCGGUUUUUGGUGGGGUUAGCCAAUCAGUUCAGUAAACAUCUGUGUUUGUUUGGACGUCUCUGUGUGUGUUACCGACGAAGCUCGGUUGUGUAGCGUUAACGUUAAGUGAAUGGGCGACGUUAUUUAACUGAUCAGUCAUAGAAUGAAUGGAAACCUAGUAUAGGCCUCUAACCGGUUGGGGAUAAACGUAUAGCAAUUUAUAGACUGUAUACGUAAUGCACUGUGUAUAACGCGCUAGCAGAGUUAAGUCCACAAGGCCUGAUGGAACCAGAGGAGUGUUACCAGCAGUAAUUGAGUGGAAGAGGUUCGCGUUGUAAUGGCGGUUCUUCGUUGUCUCCGUAAGCUCUUUUAGACUCUGUUAGGCGGCACAAUAAAUUAAAAUAUGACCUAGACGACGCCAAUGAGGCUAGAUAACCAAAAAAUAAAUAAAUAAAUUUGGAACUUGUGAGGACAGAGCCACGCGCCGUAGUUGCCAAGAACUGACUAAAAUUUUGCGGAUAAUUAAGUGCAGGGAUAAAUAGACCUAAAAUAAUAAGAGAUAAGAGAUAAGAUAAGAAAUAGGUCAUCAUAUAACUCGCCUUGCAGGUGAGGACAGAGUCACGGACCAGCGCGCCAAGACCCUGAAGGCUGGAAGUUACAAUUUAAAUUCGAAAAGGGUGAGGAUAGUGCCACAGCCGUCUGCCAAGACCCGAAAAUAAUAAAUUACUGGAUACAUUUUUACAAUAAAUAUAGAUCAGUUGAAAACGUUGCAAACUUGUAUAUAAUUGUAUGUUGCAUGUUGCGAAAAGAAUGAAGCCGGAUUAAGGAUUUGAUUGGGGCCUGGUCUUGGGGAAAACGGAGCACAUGUUUUUGGAACAUUACAGGAUGGCGGGCGGAGAUAAAUAGAGAAAACAGUUAAAAGAUGGCUGAGAAAGAAAUUCUCAGCACGGUCUACAGAGGGGACAACAAUGACUUGUUAUCCACCACUACUGGGGGUGGAGAACAUGUGCUUUGGAGAUUUCCAAAAUGGCAGCCGGCGACAGUUAAAAGAAGAAAGUUGCACCAGAUGUAACAGUUUCUGUAUUUCCCACCUCCACUCUGUAUUCCCAUUAAACAGUGUCUCCCCUUGUCUCCAUUUCCAAAUGAUCCUAACAUUUUUUUUCUUCCUCCAUUCUUAGGACCAAGUGAUUUUUGCUUGCAUUACAAACGGUCUGUGGACUUUUUCUAGGCUCUAUGUGAUUCUUUGUUUUAACGUUUAUGUAAUUGUUCUCUGCUUACAUUAACACAAUUUUCCCAUUUAUUGUUUAAACAUUUUUACAAAUUACUGAGUUUAAGAGAGACUCUAAUCAGAGUCUGCAACACAUCACACACAGACACAGCAGCACACCUGAAGAUGCACAUUAACAUGUACAUUAGCACACACACCCAUGGGUCUUGGGCAAGAGACAAAGGACAGGACGCUGUCUGUGGAGCCGGUCUGGUAAGACAAAAGGGAGUCGUUCCGAGAGAGGUGCGACCCAUAGGGACGUAGAGACGGUCAACAGUCCAGUGGGUGAAUAUAUGUAAAUAGUUAGCACAGAGGGAGACGUUUAAAUGAGUGGGAAAUAAUGUGAUUUGAGCCUAAUCUGUAGACCUUGUUGUAAAUAAUUUGUUAUUUUCUCUUAAACUUAGGCUGCAAGUUGUUGAGUGUGGAUAUGAGAUGUACAGUGACGGAAGCAAAUUUUUAGAUCAUAGGGCAGUACAGAAACUUUGUUACAAACCAUCAUCCUGUAAUGAUUUUAUCAACAAACCAUACACACAUGUAACUACAUAUGAUAUAUUGAUAUCAUUUUCAUUAGGAAUAAAUGAAUGUUCUAGGUCACUAACAAACCAUGAGUUGAGUUUUGAGUUCACAGGUAGAGAACGCAAGUAAGCUGCCCUGACGACUGAGGAUGCAAGAAUGCAAGUCCAAUUGUGAUGGAAAGUCACAAGACAAUGGAAGAGCUCGCCAGCCAGCGUCGGACUUUGAGACAAUGCAAAGAAGUCUGAAGCUGACCUGAUGCUGAUUAUGAUACAUUUAUUUUGAGACAUGUGUUAAAAUAACACAUGCCUCAACAGGAGGGAUGUAGAUAUAGAAAUAUUUUUCCAAAUUGAACGAUGGGAAAACUUAACAAAAGAAGAGAACCAACACACACACACACACACACACACACACGUAGGCACCCCAUUGUGCUUCUCUAUUCAACAGCUGACCAGGGAAUCCUGAUCUUCCAACACCUCGGAUCCCCCGAUCAGUCUGGUCACAGGACCUGCGAGAUUCUCAGGAUCAAGAAGAGAGUGGAUCUCAAUCACACGUCAAUGACGACCACUACGCGUCGCCUGACCAAGCCUUUGAUAACAAGAGGAAGUAUACACUCAACCAUAAUCCCACAAACACUCUAGUUUUUGCACAAGUUAUUACCACACAACUUUCAGAUUAAGAAAAGGGACAGAAACCCCUCAUUUAAAUCCAUGCUAAAAAUGAUUGAGAUAUACAAGCAAAUACACACGGUUGAUAUUAUUGUGAGAACAAGAGAUCAAGGUUCAUGAUUCAUAAUGUCCAAACAUUUCCCUGAUAUAGAACUAUACAGUGAAUAGACAUAUUCACAUUGAACAUCUGGUCGGACGGUGAAAGAGAUUCACCUUUCCGUUGAGUUGUACUUAUUAAGAUAACAGUAUUGUCCCGAUUAAACAAAACAUAACUAUAGACACAGUGGACAACAGACAGGAAUGCAUCACCAAUAAUUGAUAAACGACAUUAACCUAAAAUCCACAUCAGUAGAAUGGAAGCUAUGGGAAUACCUGGGGGGUGUCAAAUGAGUUUCAAGUCACACACAGGAUCUAGAAGACGCACCUCUACCCCUGCUGGAGCAGAGAGGGAUGACACAGAAGAGGAGAGACCACCUGUCAACAACCUGAGUGGCGCCAAAGGAACCGUGAGCAGUGACCAACAACCGUCAUCUCGCUGAGAGGAAGGACUUCCUCAGCCCAAAGUCUGCUUGACCACCGUGCAGGACCAGGAGGAAGCAGCAGAACCAGCACCACAGAGCCGGACCAGAAGCAAGACAAGCAUCGUUCUAGGAGAACCAGAAGCAAGACUAGGACCGAUUCAGAAAGGGUCCCAGCGAAUCUCCCGGUCUCCCUUUUGAGGGACAGCACAGUUCCAAGACCACCUCACACUAAUGGGGGACAACGACAGCCCAGCACAACUUCAGACCCACGGGUCACAUCAGAGCCAUCGAUUUCCGGUACAGACACUCCCAAGUUCCCAAGCCCCUCUACAAACACUGCCCCAUGGACAACAACAACCAUUGAGCAUGAGAGAUCCUGAAAUGGUCGAGAAGACACCCUCACACACAACUGGAGGUGAACCACUGCUGAAAGCUCUCACUGAAGAACCAGCAGAGAACAGUGACAUGGACAACCGCUUCUCAGGUUUAUUGGACUCAUGAUUUAGUAAAUACAAACAAUUGUUUAUUUUUGUGAUAACAGUCUCCAUUAUGGCCAGCAUUCUAUUCCUAGGUGGAUGCUGUUGCAUCCUCUGCAUUAGGACUCUUAUUAUUAGAGUCAUAACCACCGCACCCAUUCAAGAAGACCAGCCCCAUGAUGCUAUUAGGUUUUAUUAAAUGAAUGUGUCCUGUGUCAAUUUACACUGUACACAUGACAUCCGUGAUGAAAUGUUAAAUCCUGGGAGAAGAUCUUUCAAUCUCUCCGACAGAUUUCUUCCUCGUUUUAUUCCCAAAAAGGGUUUUCGAGGGAGUUUUUGUUCUGUGCCAGGUACAAGUUAACAAGUGGUGUCCAGAUGCACAUCUUAUGAUUAGAAUGUGUAGGAUCAAGCGUGUUAUAUUGGAUCGAACGUUAUACUAAACAAAUAGAGACGACACAUCUGACAAAACUGAGGAAUUUGAUGAACCGAUCCCUCUGAUUGGUUUUUACACCAAAAUUGGUGUAAAGGGAUGGAUUGUAGGAUAUUAGAAACAAAUAUACGACCCGGUUCAUAAAAUUAAUAAAAAUGCAUAUAGUGUACACCAGAAUACAGCCAUGAUUCUGAAACUGUAAUCAAUAAAGUAAUGACAAUAUUGUAAAACCACUGUAAUUCUGCAACUGUAAUAGAAUAAUACCAAUGUACAGUUAUGAUUGUAUUUGAUGUAAUGUAAUCAACUGGAAUGCACGCAUGUAAUACUUGAACAACAACUGAUAUUGACUAAGGAUCAUCCGAAAUCCGAGUUACAUUGAACUCACCAGAAGACCACUCCCAGAGGUGUGGACACUGACUUUCACACCUUUAAGCAUUGGUAUAAAUACCUGUAGGAACCAUUGUUCUCGAGUUCGCUGGUGGAGGCUACAGACGGGCACUAGGGAUGGUCAAAAGGACUGACCUGGGGCCUGUUGGUUGCUGAGACCAGCGGCUCCUCAGCUGAGAUGUUCUUUUUACCACAACGCCAUCUCCUUUAUUAAAUACAUUUGAUUUUAACCUUUCGAUCAGCGAUGACCUCUGUCUGUCCGGCGUUUCUUCAUUUUUGAACACAACACAUCCC